GUGCAGUAGUGCAAUCUCGGCUCACUGCAAGCUCCGCCUCUUGGGCUCACGCCAUUCUCCUGCCUCAGCCUCCCAAGUAGCUGGGACUACAAGUGCCCGCCACUACGCCUGGCUAAUUUUUUGUAUUUUUAGUAGAGACAGGGUUUCACCGUGUUAGCCAGGGUGGUCUCGAUCUCCUGACCUCGUGAUCCUGUGUCCAGAAAUGGUUCCUUCCGGUGGGUUCUUGGUCUCGCUGACUUCAAGAAUGAAGCCGUGGACCCUCAUGCACGCAAUGCCAGCACUGCUCUGAAGACAGCAGAUAUUUAAUAGUGUUUGUGGAUUGAGUGAUUAAAUGGAAAAAGCAGAUCUUCAAACCUUGCCAAGAAAGCAAAAAAUGAAGCAAAAACAAAAUAAAAAUUUCAGUACAGAAAACAAAUACCAAGCGAAAUCACAAACUGUUUGUUCCCUUUGCAAGUGUCUGGAUAACAAAUAGGGUCCUCUAAAGGCCACAGAGCCGUAUUAAUAUCAACCUGAGAUGUCUUUCUGGAAAGACUUUCUAAGAUGUUUCCAGCCUAAGAACUCUCUUAUGGAUUGACUGGCUCUGGGACCAAGCAUGUUUUGGGGUUGGUGGGAAAAUGAAGCACUGUUCCAGGCUGGUCUGUCCUGAGCAGAUCAGAAGACUCACUGGUGGUAAGGCUCUUCAGAGCCAGAGGACUCUAUUGCAGUCACAACUGUAUGGUGAACACAUGUGAUAGUAAUAACUGAAGCAUACCCUGAGAAUGACCGUGUAUGGCAGAUGCACCUGAAUGCAUGUUCUGAGCUGGGGAAUCUGGGUGUGGCCAAAGUGAAGAUUUGUUCCUUUUCUGUGAGGAACAUCUGAGCUCCCAGCCCAUCUUGUGGAACACAGGCCAUACGGAGGUCCAGGUCCCAAGUUUUGAGCUGAAUGAAGGUUGCCAGCUGGAGGUCGUUAGGAAAAGAAUGCUAAGUGAAAAUGCUAAACCACCUGCCUUUUGUAAGCAGUUGCAGUUCUCCUGCCUAGCCUGCUGCUACUAGAUUCCUUCCCCUGUAUGUAAGCCCCCAAUAAAAUGU
rnacentral:lncRNA from 10 species